AACGAACGCUGGCGGCAUGCCUAACACAUGCAAGUCGAACGGCAGCUUCGGGUGUAUUUGCGCUCGCGGGCGUCACGCGGCGGAAGCGUCCCGUAUGGUCGGGAUAACUCCCCUAAGGGGGUGCUAAUACCGGGUAAUUUCUGCUGACCAAAGAUUUAUCGCCUUUGUGUGGGCGCGCGUUGGAUUAGCUAGUUGGUAGGGUAAAAGCCUACCAAGGCGUCGAUCCUUAGCUGGGCUGAGAGGAUGGGCAGCCACACUGGGACUGAGACCCGGCUCAGACUCCUACGGGAGGCAGCAGUGGGGAAUCUUGCACAAUGGGCGAAAGCCUGAUGGAGCAAGGCCGCGUGAGUGAUGAAGGCCUGAGGGUUGUAAAGCUCUUUUACACGGGAUGAUUAUGACGGUACCGAAAGAAUAAGCACCGGCUAACUACGUG
rnacentral:rRNA from 1 species